rnacentral:tRNA from 1 species
GCCGCAGUGGCGGAAUUGGCAGACGCGCUACGUUCAGGGCGUAGUGGGCAAAGCGCUCGUGGGGGUUCAAGUCCCUCCUGCGGCAC